rnacentral:lncRNA from 1 species
GCUUCAGUCAUUCAAAAAUUGAAAUAAGAUAGCAAAUACAUAUUUUUAAAUAUUUUACUGGAAAUAAAACAAACAGUGGCUCUCCUCUGGCAAACCUCUGAAUAGCUUCAGUAGACGAAUAGGGUCCCAAUCCAACAAAGCACAUGUAAGCACACCAGUAAUUACAUUAAUUUCAUCCAGUUCAUGUGCUGAAAGUUACGUCUGUAUUUAGGGCAUUGCUGGACUGGGGCCUAACCUGAGCUAUGCGAAGCCUUUCGAGAGGGAGAGGCGGGAGGAGGGGUUUGGUGUUAGCAGCCCCUUCAAAUCACCGGAAUGCUCCUGUGCUGGACGGCGCUGGCCACCUCCGAGGGCUCUUUUCGGUUCUUACAGUAGCAUUAAUAGCCCUUGUGACAGCCCCCCGUGACCCCGCCGAUGCUGGUGUGCCAAAAAACUCGCUUUCAGGGCCCGGAGCGCUCCCGGGAGCCUGGAAGGGGCCGCCGCCCCGACUCACCGGGCGCAGGAGGGCGAGGGCCGGGCCCGCGGCCUCUUCCCUGCCCUAGGACUCGGCGCCGCCCCGGCCUCGCUGCCUCUCGGGGCCGAGGGGGAGCCGAGGGACCCCGGCGGGGCUCGGCGGCGGCGCAGGUUUCAAGGAAUGCUCAAUCUUUUCACGUACCAUGGUGGUCUGUGGAAUCAGCAGCUCAACCGGUUUCUAUUUGCUGUGCCUCAGGUUGAUAACACUUGCUGGAAGAGUGCUCUUAUUUGUGAGAUAAAGCCACGUUCUAGAACUGAUGUUUUCAUGAAAAGCAGUGGAGCUGUUGCUCUGGGUAGGAGUGUGACCAUGGUAGACUUGUCAAUAGCCAAGUUUGAGAAUGUGAGUAACAUUGUAAUAAUGAUUUAAAAAAAUAUUUUUAAUGGUGGCAGUUGAAUCCUUGUGUAACAGCGCUACAGAAACAGUUGAUUGAGAGCUGAUGAGCGAGGAAAAGUUCAGUCACUUAAGUAAACCAUGUUGGUUUUAAUGGAGACACGUACUUCAGAGAAUGGAUGCUAGAAACACAAGGCAUGUAGGAGAUGGGAGUUUAAAGAAAUGAAAUACUGACAGUUUGGAACCAUCAGAAAUGUGAAAAUGCCACUGUGGUUUUUGCACUUCUUUUACUAAGGUCUUAUAUUUGUUACAAUAUAGAUAAUUUCAGCGCUGUUUAUUUUCUACCUGCAGUAGAUCAACAAGAUACAAAAGCCUGUGUCCUGUCUUAAAUUUCCAUAGCUUUCCUUUUGAAUUAGGUAUCCAUAGUAGGAAAAUCUUACUUCCAAAAUGUAGAAAAGUCCAUUUUUAAAAUAUGGGCUUGACCCUUUACAUUUACAGUGUUGUGCAUUUUAUUCUCUGUAUUGUGUGCGUGUGUGAUAAAAUAAAGACAUUACCUUUAUUUGACA